CGGAACUACAGCGGCUGGAUCACCUCCUUAACUGCAUGGUUAGCGGCGGACGGGAUGAGUAACACGGUAGCGCAACCCUGCCCUCAANACUGGGUAUAACUACCGGAAACGGUNGCUAAUACCGGAUAAUUUAUUUCACAGAACUUGUGGAAUAAUGAAAGACGGAGCAAUCUGUCACUUGGGGAUGGGCCUGCGGCGCAUUAGCUAGUUGGUGGGGUAAUGGCUCACCAAGGCGACGAUGCGUAGCCGACCUGAGAGGGUGAACGGCCACACUGGGACUGANACACGGCCCANACUCCUACGGGAGGCAGCAGUAGGGAAUCUUCCGCAAUGGGCGAAAGCCUGACGGANCAACGCCGCGUGAGUGAUGAAGGUUUUCGGAUCGUAAAGCUCUGUUGCCAANGAAGAACGUCUUCUAGAGUAACUGCUAGGAGAGUGACGGUACUUGAGAANAAAGCCCCGGCUAACUACGUGCCANCAGCCNCGGUAAUACGUAGGGGGCAAGCGUUGUCCGGAAUUAUUGGGCGUAAAGCGCGCCCCANGCNUAUUCUUUAAGUCUGGUGUUUAAACCCGAGGCUCAACUUCGGGUCGCACUGGAAA
rnacentral:rRNA from 1 species